GCCUGCUUGGCCAAGUGGUAAGGCGUCGCACUUGUACAGCAAUGUCAUGCGAAGAGCAGUUGUUCGACUCAGCUAGUGGGCA
rnacentral:tRNA from 1 species